UACUUUUGCACCCACAAAAUAUUUGUACAUAAUAAUCAUUAAAUUAAUAUUGGAAUG
rfam:Capnocytophaga sp. oral taxon 329 str. F0087 C_spHMPREF9074-1.0_Cont2.8, whole genome shotgun sequence.